rnacentral:rRNA from 1 species
GCGAACGCUGGCGGCAGGCUUAACACAUGCCAGUCGAGCGGGCACUUCGGUGUCAGCGGCGGACGGGUGAGUAACACGUGGGAACGUACCCUUUGGUUCGGAAUAACGCUGGGAAACUAGCGCUAAUACCGGAUACGCCCUUUUGGGGAAAGGCUUGCUGCCGAAGGAUCGGCCCGCGUCUGAUUAGCUAGUUGGUGGGGUAAUGGCCUACCAAGGCGACGAUCAGUAGCUGGUCUGAGAGGAUGAUCAGCCACACUGGGACUGAGACACGGCCCAGACUCCUACGGGAGGCAGCAGUGGGGAAUAUUGGACAAUGGGCGCAAGCCUGAUCCAGCCAUGCCGCGUGAGUGAUGAAGGCCUUAGGGUUGUAAAGCUCUUUUGUCCGGGACGAUAAUGACGGUACCGGAAGAAUAAGCCCCGGCUAACUUCGUG